GAUGAACGCUGGCGGCGUGCCUAAUACAUGCAAGUCGAGCGAACGGACGAGAAGCUUGCUUCUCUGAUGUUAGCGGCGGACGGGUGAGUAACACGUGGAUAACCUACCUAUAAGACUGGGAUAACUUCGGGAAACCGGAGCUAAUACCGGAUGAUAUUUUGAACCGCAGGGUUCAAAAGUGAAAGACGGUCUUGCUGUCACUUAUAGAUGGAUCCGCGCUGCAUUAGCUAGUUGGUAAGGUAACGGCUUACCAAGGCAACGAUGCAUAGCCGACCUGAGAGGGUGAUCGGCCACACUGGAACUGAGACACGGUCCAGACUCCUACGGGAGGCAGCAGUAGGGAAUCUUGCGCAAUGGGCGAAAGCCUGACGGAGCAACGCCGCGUGAGUGAUGAAGGUCUUCGGAUCGUAAAACUCUGUUAUUAGGGAAGAACAUAUGUGUAAGUAACUGUGCACAUCUUGACGGUACCUAAUCAGAAAGCCACGGCUAACUACGUG
rnacentral:rRNA from 1 species